rnacentral:sRNA from 1 species
GGAGAAGCACGUCACUGUGGUUGUAGGAACAUCUGGGGACACAGGAAGUGCUGCCAUUGAGAGUGUUCAAGGGGCAAAGAACAUGGACAUUAUUGUUCUGCUGCCCAAAGGUCACUGCACAAAGAUUCAGGAGCUCCAGAUGACAACGGUGCUGAAGGAGAACGUACAUGUGUUUGGAGUGGAGGGAAACAGCGAUGAGCUCGAUGAGCCGAUCAAAACUGUGUUUGCCGACGUGGCUUUUGUUAAGAAGCACAAUCUGAUGAGCCUGAAUUCGAUCAACUGGUCCCGGGUCCUGGUGCAGAUGGCCCAUCACUUCUUUGCUUACUUCCAGUGUAUGCCAUCCUUGGACACGCAUCCCCUACCCCUGGUGGAGGUGGUUGUGCCAACAGGGGCUGCCGGUAACCUUGCAGCUGGGUACAUUGCUCAGAAGAUAGGCCUGCCCGUCCGUCUGGUCGUGGCAGUGAACGGCAAUGACAUCAUCCACAGGACUGUCCAGCAGGGAGACUUCUCUCUCUCUGAGGCUGUUAAAUCAACCUUGGCAUCAGCUAUGGACAUUCAGGUGCCCUACAACAUGGAGAGGGUAUUCUGGCUGCUCUCUGGCUCUGACAGCCAGGUGACAAGAGCCCUCAUGGAGCAGUUUGAAAGGACCCAAAGUGUGAAUCUGCCCAAGGAACUGCACAGCAAGCACUCCCCGGUGCUGCCUUGCCCCUGCCUCUGCAGCCAAGUUCCCGGAAGCUGUCCUGGCUGCUGGCCUGACCCCUGAGACUCCUGCAGAGAUCGUAGCCCUGGAGCACAAGGAAACACGCUGCACCCCGAUGCGGAGAGGUGACAACUGGAUGCUGAUGCUUUGGGACACCAUUGAGGACCUUAGCCAACGGUGGAGGAGUCAUGCCCUCAACACCUCCCGGUAGCCUGGCUGGAGGUGGCUUUCUUUAGUCUUCAGAUCCCAGGAAGAUGCACCUUCUGAGCUGCCUUGUGCACCCUCCCCAUUAAGCGUAGGUUAGGAGGUUUCCGGGAGGCUGCUCAGCUGGAUCUGGAGCCAGCUGGCUUUGCUCCGCUCCCUGGCUACUCUGUGCCUGGUCACCAGGGAGGCUGAGUGAGGGGCU